GUUAAAAGCUGUUUACUACCGUUGGUUACCGCUAAAACGUUAACGGUUUAAAUCUCACCGCCAUACGGGGGCGCGAGCAGGAAUUCGCCUGUUCUAUGUCUCGAGACAUUAACGCAGUCGAUAGUUGAGUCCCAUGCCUGCAAACAGGAAGACACUGGAGACGAUGAGGAGGAUCCCACAGCCCUGGGUUUCAACAUGCAGCAUACUCUGGAGCUUUUGAUCAUAUCAAACAAUCAUCUUCAGAAUGAGCUUUUCAGCCAACAUGGUCAAGAAGUUUUCAAAAAAAUGGAAAUGUGAUCUGCUGAGGAAGAUCAUGCACUACAACUGAAAGAUCAGGCAGCUACUACAUAAAGAUGAACAGAGAGGUGGUGAAGUUUACCACCACCAGCCUCAUGACCUUCUUGAAUGCACGUCUGCAGAAACUCAUCAGCCACAUGAGGUUAUGUGUGGAUUGUUGUACAGUGUUUCUAAAUCUGUAUCUGCCCUAUGAAGUACAGUGAAUAUGUAUUUAUAUAUACCAUGUAUCUAUAAUCAGCCCGCCUCAGGAAGCAAGAAGACGAAGAAGAAGAA